rnacentral:rRNA from 1 species
UACGGAGGGUGCAAGCGUUAUCCGGAUUCACUGGGUUUAAAGGGUGCGUAGGCGGGCAGGUAAGUCAGUGGUGAAAUCUCCGGGCUUAACCCGGAAACUGCCGUUGAUACUAUCUGUCUUGAAUAUCGUGGGGGUAAGCGGAAUAUGUCAUGUAGCGGUGAAAUGCUUAGAUAUGACAUAGAACACCCAUUGCGAAGGCAGCUUACUACACGAUCAUUGACGCUGAGGCACGAAAGCGUGGGGAGCAAACAGG